rnacentral:rRNA from 1 species
UACAGAGGGUGCAAGCGUUAAUCGGAUUUACUGGGCGUAAAGCGCGCGUAGGCGGCUAAUUAAGUCAAAUGUGAAAUCCCCCGAGCUUAAACUUGGGAAUUGCAUUCGAUACUGGUUAGCUAGAGUGUGGGAGAGGAUGGUAGAAUUCCAGGUGUAGCGGUGAAAAUGCGUAGAGAUCUGGAGGAAUACCGAUGGCGAAGGCAGCCAUCUGGCCUAACACUGACGCUGAGGUGCGAAAGCAUGGGGAGCAAACAGG